GACGAACGCUGGCGGCGUGCUUAACACAUGCAAGUCGAACGCUGAAGCCCUUUCGGGGGUGGAUGAGUGGCGAACGGGUGAGUAACACGUGGGUAAUCUGCCCUGUACUUCGGGAUAAGCCUUGGAAACGGGGCCUAAUACCGGAUAGGACCUGUCCUCGCAUGGGGGUGGGUGGAAAGUUCCGGCGGUAUGGGAGGAGCCCGCGGCCUAUCAGCUUGUUGGUGGGGUAGUGGCCUACCAAGGCGACGACGGGUAGCCGGCCGGAGAGGGUGACCGGGCACACUGGGACUGGGACACGGCCCAGACUCCUACGGGAGGCAGCAGUGGGGAAUCUUGCGCAAUGGGCGAAAGCCUGACGCAGCAACGCCGCGUGGGGGAUGACGGCCUUCGGGUUGUAAACCUCUUUCGACAUCGACGAAGGGGCCCUGUUGUGGGGUUUUGACGGUAGGUGUAGAAGAAGCACCGGCUAACUACGUGCCAGCCGCCGCAGUAA
rnacentral:rRNA from 1 species